rnacentral:antisense_RNA from 1 species
GGAGUGGAGAACACAAUUUAAUGCAUAACAGCUCUUUUCAUCUCUCAGCAAACUAGGUCUCAGGUCUGAAGUCCACUGCAGUCAGCCUUCCCUGGUGGUGAGCUGCUGUCAGAACCUCCCCACUACUCCUCUGGGUGGCCCCAGUCUUGUGCCUAUUUCCCUCUCGUGGUCAUCAAGUCUCGCCCAGAUGGAGUCUCAGUUUUAUAAGGGGGAGUUUCCCUGCACAAGCUCUCUCUCUUUGUCUGCUGCCAUUCAUGUAAAAUGUGACUUGCUCCUCCUUGCCUUCCGUCAUGAUUGUGAUGCCUCCCAGCCAUGUGGAAAUAGAAUUCCAAAAUUGUACGAGCUUCAGGCCCCACAAAACCUGGAUCCACCCUCAGAUUUCAUUUAUCUCACUUCAUGGUGACAAAUGAACCUGCUGUUCUUGUCACUCCCCGGGUCCGACUGUACUCCCAAAUCUGUCAAGCGAAAAGUUUCAGAAAUGUUCCUUAUGACUCCUUGGAUAUUCUUAACUAAUAGGGCCUCUGUGAGAUCUGUACUACUAAGAAGUUUCACAAGUAAUUCUAAUAUUCAGCCUGGGUUGAAAACCGCCAUCCACCAUCCACGGAUGCUGUGCUUGGGGCCCGUGCUUCUCAGAUGGUGGGUCAUCACUCAUUCUGAGUUGUGAAAUCAUCUUAACAGGUCCCAAUUAGCAUUGUUUUAGUAGAAUGGAAUAUGUUACCUUGCAUCAUAAGGUUGGUGUGUUCGUCCCACUUUUGUUUCAAUAUCUACAAUAUAUAUAACUUAUAUAUUGCCUUGGGUAGCGCAAUUCUGAAUCCUGUGGU